rnacentral:misc_RNA from 1 species
CCCCCAAAACCAAAAAAAAAAAAAGUCAGAUCACAUAUAUAAAUUCUGGGAAUGUAAUUUGUGACUACCCAAAAUAAUUUACAUAAGUUAGUGAGUAGAUACACUGACAAUUUCCUAUGUUGAAAGUUGAAAGCCUAAAAAUAGUUAUGGUUACUGCAUUAGUUGAUUGCAAUUAAAGAGAUAUCGUAAUACUCGUAGGCUUUGUUUGUAAUAAAUCAUUAAAAAAAUAAAAUAAAUUCUUACACAAUCAUAAUUGAUUUCUAUUUCUUUAAAAAUGAAAUUUUUCUAAGUUAAAAAGAAUUGAAUUCUUUCAUUCCAAAUAUGGGAAUUGAUAAAAAAGAAAUCAAUCAAAUUGAAUUCUUGUAAAGUUCUAGUUUUCAAAGAUGGGAACACUGACGGCGUUAAGCCACAUCAUCAGAUCACUAACAAAUUCUACAUAAUUAUUGUCUGUAUGCAAGCCUAUGAUAAUUUAAAUGCUCUCGUCUUCUCAUUUACAAUUUAGAAUCAGAGAGUAUCAAUCCAAAAAGCAUAGUGUUCUUCCACUGAAUUUAUAAAACUCAAAAUACCCAACACAAAACACACUAUGUUUUCAAGUCCUACAGCUCCCCAACCCAUUCAUAAUAUAAAGAAACCAAGUUAUUCAAUGUUCCCACAAUAAGGAUGUAAGCCUGCUAAAACCAAGUAAAAUAGCAAAUAAUGCCAAGUCUAAACACCAAAAGGAACAUGACCAACCCACUAUGAAUAUCUUCUUUAAAAUAAUUAUUCAAAUCGCUCAAAUCAAACAUUCAGCAUCUAAUUAAAAGGGAAAAAAAAAAUCCAAAUUCGUACUAGAAGCAAAACUGAGAUUAGACAAAAAGAAAAAGAAAGGGAAUUGACAAAAUAACUGUGAAUCAAUACGAUAAGAAAAAAAAAACCAAAAAAUUGCAUUUCACCAGAGAAAAAUGCCUGCAGGGCCUGAACUUAAAAGAGCCAAGUGGAAGGAGAGCAGGAGAGCAGGAGAAUGAGAAGGAAAGAGCUGAUGGCGACUUUGAAGAGGUGGAGAUGAGAUUGUGGUUGAUUGAAGAAUCAUUUUUCUUCUGAAUUGGUAUGUGAGUAAGCGGAGUGGCUUCUUCAGUCAAGCUGAUAGUGUACUGUUUCUGGGAAUUUUGAGGGCUUUGAAGGCGCAUUUCUA